ACCCGUACUCCGUCCGGCAGGCAAACGGCCACCCCACGCUUCCUAGGCGCACAGCACAAACGGUCCGUGGAGAACUAACGCGUGCGCCCGGAGCCUCUCCUUGUGCCACCUUUUCAUCCCUUCCUCCCGUUCCUGCCCAUCCCCGCUGCCGGCGCCGAUCCGGUGUCUGUCCUUGUAUACUGACUUGCAUUCUCUAGGUCAUUUUUUAGGGCCGAGUAGUAUUCCACCGUACGGACCCAGCACAUUGCUUCUGCACGCGUGUCGCGUGGAUGAACAUUCGUGCUGUUUCCAGUCCAAAUAAAGCCGCCGGGAACAUUGCACGUUCA